GACGAACGCUGGCGGCGUGCCUAAUACAUGCAAGUCGAACGCAGUGGGGACGGGGUAGUAACACGUGGGUAACCUCCCAUCAGAGGGGAUAACACUUGGAAACAGGUGCUACUCCGCUACUGAUGGAUGGACCCGCGGUGCAGUAGCUAGUUGGUGAGGUAACGGCUCACCAAGGCCACGAUGCAUAGCCGACCUUAGAGGGUGAGCGGCCACACGGGGACUGAGACACGGCCCAGACUCCUACGGGAGGCAGCAGUAGGGAAUCUUCGGCAAUGGACGAAAGUCUGACCGAGCAACGCCGCGUGAGUGAAGAAGGUUUUCGGAUCGUAAAACGCUGUUGUUAGAGAAGCGGUAUCUAACCAGAAAGCCACGGCUAACUACGUGCCAGCAGCCGCGGUAAUUC
rnacentral:rRNA from 1 species